rnacentral:misc_RNA from 1 species
AUCAACCACAAGGACACACAUAGAUAUCAGUUGUACGGUGCUCCUUCUAUGCACAAAAGCCGACAUUUUUCAAGAAAAUUAAGAGAAUAAGCUUCAUUGAGGAAUUGAAAUCUUUAACUCACAUUCAAAAGUAUUGGAUACCCAAUCUUUGCAAGCUCUUCAGUUGUCCAUAAACCCCUUUGCACUAAUCUUUGCUAAAUAGUAAAUAUCUCUCAACGAACUCAUUAUAGCUCAGUCCUUUGCUUGCAAUUUCUCCUAGGAGGAUGAAGAGAUUGGAGAUUGGCCCACUUGAUUAAAACACCUAUAUCAAUAUCGAUCAAUCAAAAUCCUUCUCAUUCUUCUCCAUCAAUCACAAUUCUGUUGAUUCAUCACAAUUUUAGAGGUGCUGAUAGAGACAGA